CCAUACGACCGUACCGCAAACCGACACUGGUGCGCGAGAUGAGUAUUCUAAGGCGCUUGAGAGAACUCAGGAGAAGGAACUCGGCAAAUUGACACCGUAACUUCGGAAGAAGGUGUGCCCUAUUAGUGUGUAGUGAACAACGAAGCAUGAAUGGGUUGCAAAAAAUCGGUGGCUGCGACUGUUUAUUAAAAACACAGCACUCUGCAAACACGAAAGUGGACGUAUAGGGUGUGACGCCUGCCCGGUGCUGGAAGAUUAAAUGAUGGGGUGCAAGCUCUUGAUUGAAGUCCCAGUAAACGGCGGCCGUAACAAUAACGGUCCUAAGGUAGCGAAAUUCCUUGUCGGGUAAGUUCCGACCUGCACGAAUGGCGUAACGAUGGCCACACUGUCUCCUCCUGAGACUCAGCGAGGUUGAAAUGUUUGUGAUGAUGCAAUCUCCCCGCGGAAAGACGGAAAGACCCCAUGAACCUUUACUGUAGCUUUGUAUUGGACUUUGAACAGAUCUGUGUAGGAUAGGUGGGAGGCUUUGAAGCAGGGUCGCUAGAUCUUGUGGAGCCAACGUUGAAAUACCACCCUGGUGUGUUUGAGGUUCUAACCUAGGUCCAUUAUCUGGAUCGGGGACAGUGCAUGGUAGGCAGUUUGACUGGGGCGGUCUCCUCCCAAAGCGUAACGGAGGAGUUCGAAGGUACGCUAGUUACGGUCGGACAUCGUGACGAUAGUGCAAUGGCAUAAGCGUGCUUAACUGCGAGACUGACAAGUCGAGCAGAUGCGAAAGCAGGACAUAGUGAUCCGGUGGUUCUGUAUGGAAGGGCCAUCGCUCAACGGAUAAAAGGUACUCUGGGGAUAACAGGCUGAUACCGCCCGAGAGUUCAUAUCGACGGCGGUGUUUGGCACCUCGAUGUCGGCUCAUCUCAUCCUGGGGCUGUAGCCGGUCCCAAGGGUAUGGCUGUUCGCCAUUUAAAGAGGUACGUGAGCUGGGUUUAAAACGUCGUGAGACAGUUUGGUCCCUAUCUUCCGUGGGCGCUGCAGAUUUGAGGAAGCCUGCUCCUAGUACGAGAGGACCGGAGUGGACACACCUCUGGUGUAUCGGUUGUCACGCCAGUGGCAUUGCCGAGUAGCUAAGUGUGGAAGAGAUAACCGCUGAAAGCAUCUAAGCGGGAAACUCGUUUCAAGAUGAGAUCUGCCGGGGCCUUGAGCCCCCUAAAGAGUCGUUCAAGACCAGGACGUUGAUAGGUCAGGUGUGGAAGCCAAAAAAAAAG
rnacentral:rRNA from 1 species